GAUGAACGCUGGCGGCGUGCCUAAUACAUGCAAGUCGAGCGAACAGACGAGGAGCUUGCUCCUCUGUCGUUAGCGGCGGACGGGUGAGUAACACGUGGAUAACCUACCUAUAAGACUGGGAUAACUUCGGGAAACCGGAGCUAAUACCGGAUAAUAUAUUGAACCGCAUGGUUCUAUAGUGAAAGACGGUUUUGCUGUCACUUAUCGAUGGAUCCGCGCCGCAUUAGCUAGUUGGUAAGGUAACGGCUUACCAAGGCAACGAUGCCUAGCCGACCUGCGAGGGUGAUGGGCCACACUGGGACUGACACUACGUCCAGACUCCUACGGGAGGCAGCAGUAGGGAAUCUUCCGCAAUGGGCGAAAGCCUGAAGGAGCACCGCCGCGUGAGUGAUGAAGGUCUUCGGAUCGUAAAACUCUGUUAGUAGGGAAGAACAAAUGUGUAAGUAACUAUGCACGUCUUGACGGUACCUAAUCAGAAAGCCACGGCUAACUACGUG
rnacentral:rRNA from 1 species